AACGAACGCUGGCGGCAUGCCUAACACAUGCAAGUCGAACGAGACCUCCGGGUCUAGUGGCGCACGGGUGCGUAACGCGUGGGAACCUGCCCUUAGGUUCGGAAUAACUCCCCGAAAGGGGUGCUAAUACCGGAUAAUGUCUUCGGACCAAAGAUUUAUCGCCUUUGGAUGGGCCCGCGUUGGAUUAGCUAGUUGGUAGGGUAAAAGCCUACCAGGGCGACGAUCCAUAGCUGGUCUGAGAGGAUGAUCAGCCACACUGGGACUGAGACACGGCCCAGACUCCUACGGGAGGCAGCAGUGGGGAAUAUUGGACAAUGGGCGAAAGCCUGAACCAGCAAUGCCGCGUGAGUGAUGAAGGCCUUAGGGUUGUAAAGCUCUUUUACCCGGGAUGAUAAUGACAGUACCGGGAGAAUAAGCUCCGGCUAACUCCGUG
rnacentral:rRNA from 1 species